CGGAAAGGCCCUGCUUUUGUGGGGUGCUCGAGUGGCGAACGGGUGAGUAACACGUGAGUAACCUGCCCUUGACUUUGGGAUAACUUCAGGAAACUGGGGCUAAUACCGGAUAGGAGCUCCUGCUGCAUGGUGGGGGUUGGAAAGUUUCGGCGGUUGGGGAUGGACUCGCGGCUUAUCAGCUUGUUGGUGGGGUAGUGGCUUACCAAGGCUUUGACGGGUAGCCGGCCUGAGAGGGUGACCGGCCACAUUGGGACUGAGAUACGGCCCAGACUCCUACGGGAGGCAGCAGUGGGGAAUAUUGCACAAUGGGCGGAAGCCUGAUGCAGCAACGCCGCGUGCGGGAUGACGGCCUUCGGGUUGUAAACCGCUUUCGCCUGUGACGAAGCGUGAGUGACGGUAAUGGGUAAAGAAGCACCGGCUAACUACGUGCCAGCAG
rnacentral:rRNA from 1 species